UUUCCGUAGGUGGCGCUAUUGAGCGGUUUUGACACACCCGUUCCCAAAUACUUCAGAAUACGUAAACUUGCGCACAUUUCUAAUUUACUGUACACUUUAGAAACUUUUUGAGCACGUUAAAGCCCUCAAAAAGCCAAUUCACUGAGCGAAGAAAAAUAAUAAUAACUAGGGCUACGUUGUAGCACUAACGGGCCCGAGCACAGGCAAUUUCUAGUCUGUUGCGGUCGAUGAAGAGAGAACGUUCGAUGACCAAGCGCUAGUCUCCGCAUUGCAUGCGUUUGCGCUCUGCGGCAAGGAUGAUCGCUCCACUUCCUGUAGCCAGCCGCUGGUGCUGAACUAGAGAUGAGGAACUGCAGCACCUGAUGUUCUCAGCAGCAACAUGGUGGAGAUCUGCAGCUUCAUGCUGGUCAAAAUGUGGACGAUGUCAUCAUCAUCAGAAGCUACACAACACUGUGAAAUUACUCUUAUAUAAAGAUGGCCUGCAACUGUUUAGUGGUGGCAGUCAUUUCUAAGUGUCAUGGAUAAGAAUUAAUUUCUAUCUUCAUUAUGAUGAGGAACUGCAGCACCUGACGUCGUCAGCAGCAACAUGGUGGUCAACACGUGGACGACUGCAUAAUCAUCAGAAGCUACACAACACUUCUAAAUUCCUCCCUUAAAUAAAGAUGGCCUGCAACUGUUUGGUGGUGGCAGUCAUUGCUAAGUGGCAUGGAUAAGAAUUAAUUUCUAUCUUCAUUAUGGUUGGUUAAAAUAAUAAAAACUUAUAACAACAA